AAUUCGAUUAGAGUUUGAUCCUGGCUCAGAUUGAACGCUGGCGGCAUGCCUUACACAUGCAAGUCGAACGGCAGCACGGGAGCUUGCUCCUGGUGGCGAGUGGCGAACGGGUGAGUAAUACAUCGGAACGUACCCAGGAGUGGGGGAUAACGUAGCGAAAGUUACGCUAAUACCGCAUAUUCUGUGAGCAGGAAAGCGGGGGAUCGCAAGACCUCGCGCUCUUGGAGCGGCCGAUGUCGGAUUAGCUAGUUGGUGAGGUAAAAGCUCACCAAGGCGACGAUCCGUAGCAGGUCUGAGAGGAUGAUCUGCCACACUGGGACUGAGACACGGCCCAGACUCCUACGGGAGGCAGCAGUGGGGAAUUUUGGACAAUGGGGGCAACCCUGAUCCAGCCAUGCCGCGUGAGUGAAGAAGGCCUUCGGGUUGUAAAGCUCUUUCGGCGGGGAAGAAAUGGCAACGGCUAAUAUCCGUUGUUGAUGACGGUACCCGCAUAAGAAGCACCGGCUAACUACGUGCCAGCAGCCGCGGUAAUACGUAGGGUGCGAGCGUUAAUCGGAAUUACUGGGCGUAAAGCGUGCGCAGGCGGUUUCGUAAGACAGACGUGAAAUCCCCGGGCUCAACCUGGGAACUGCGUUUGUGACUGCGAGGCUAGAGUACGGCAGAGGGGGGUAGAAUUCCACGUGUAGCAGUGAAAUGCGUAGAGAUGUGGAGGAAUACCGAUGGCGAA
rnacentral:rRNA from 1 species